UACAGAGGGUGCAAGCGUUGUUCGGAAUUAUUGGGCGUAAAGCGCGUGUAGGCGGCUAGGCAAGUCGGGUGUGAAAGCCCUCAGCUCAACUGAGGAAGUGCGCCCGAAACUGCCUGGCUUGAGUACCGGAGAGGAUGGCGGAAUUCCCCAAGUAGAGGUGAAAUUCGUAGAUAUGGGGAGGAACACCGGUGGCGAAGGCGGCCAUCUGGACGGAUACUGACGCUGAGACGCGAAAGCGUGGGGAGCAAACAGG
rnacentral:rRNA from 1 species